GCAGGUGACCCGCUGGCCAGCCUGAAGGAGACGCAGCCCCCUGCAGCCAGCGAGCCUGCCGCCACGGAUCGGCCCGUCUACAAGGCCUCCCCUGCAUCUCCACCGCAAAUGUGAUAAACGUUAUCUGUGCUGAUUACAAGUCCCACGAAAAGCAGAAGGGAUGCCUGUGGGCUCCACUUGAGGAGGACCACCUCAGUCUGAGCACUGGGCAGCAAAGGCACAGAAACCGGACCAGCGAAGGAAUUCAUCUCGGGUUUGGGUUCUAAACUUGUACCCGCAGUAAAAGUGGCUGUCUCUCUCAGUCAUCAGAGUGAAAGGGUCACUGCUCUUGCCAACGCUGGGUUGUCUUCCCCUCGGAUGCUGCGGCUCCUCUCCUCCUGCUCUCC